AACCCAACGCGCGCGGUCUUCCGCCCGAGCGCGCCCCCGACCCACGCGCUUCCGGUUGGUGGCCUGUCCCUACCGAGCGCGGUCCUGCUCGCCGCUUCCUGUCUCCUCCCCUCACCCUGUUCCCCGCACCGGCAGAGCGGGCAGCUCCCGAGGCUCGUACCGGAACUGUGGCCUUCUCCCGGGACUUGGAGGACCGCCUCGGCUGAGGAAGUGACCGAGAGAAGAGAGUGGACAGGACUCACGGAAACACUCGAGAAGAUUCUCUCAGUGCCAUCCCCAGAGUGGCUGUGAUAGGAUAAGCCAGGGAGGGCAUCACUGUGUAACCCAGGCUUGCUUGGAACUCUUUCGUGGAGCAGUUUCGAACUUGAGAUUCACCUGCUCCUUGAGUCUCUCAAGUGCUGAGAGUAAAGGGGAUGUCAACGGCCUGGACAGCAACGUUGAAAGAAUUGUGGGUACGGUGAGGAGAAAAGUGAAGUAAAAGAGAGCACCCCAGAAAACUCUGAUGAAAAAAGUCAGGAAAUCCUGAUAGCUGAAGAAAAAUAAAAUGAAGAGACGAGAGAUAGAAGAAAGAUUGCCGAUAUUCCCAGAUUCGAUGGAAGAAUGAAAAAAGGAGAAAUAAAACAGAUACUUGGACUUGGGAUGUUGAAGCAGGAGGAUGAGCGAUUGUUAUGCAGCCGGGUGGAAGCCAGCCUAGAAUAAAGUGUGAGAAUGAAAAAAAACACAUAAUGACAGACAUAAUGCAGAGUCAAACUGGCUGGUCACACACAGUUCAGAUUUCAUUGAUAAGACUGACGGAAUCCGUUUAAUAUUGUUACUACCUAAGGCUUCUUUCCAGUUACAGUCAUUCUGAGAACAUUGCACUUGUAUGAGUUUUAAAGUGUUGAUCGUACAGGACUUAGCUCCAUUACACUUCCUGGUGUUCUUUUUCUUCCCAAACUACAUUUAUAUGUCUUUGUCCAGCUUGUCCCUUUUCAUCAUUGCAGAUCUGCAUAAGAAUAAUUACUAAUAACCACAGGACACAGUUAAUACUAGGCUGUCUUGAAAUCUUUUCUACCAAACCAUUAAUCCAAAACUCAGUUUAGCAGCUUGGGUUGGGUUUUUGUUGUUGUUGUUGUUGUUGUUGUUGUUGUUUUUGUUUUGUUUUGUUUUUGUCAAAAUACAUCAAGAAUGCUCUCUAGGCCACUUGCUAAUAUUCUUCCCCUCUGAAGCCUCUUGAGUUGGGCUGGUCAUAAUCUAUAUUGCUCUUAGAACCACCACUGUCUUCCAUGCUCCUUCUAGAAUGGCCCAUUAAGCCCCACUUAAACAGCUCAACUUCUUUCCUAAUCUAAAUUCCCAAAGUCCACACUCUACCAACUAGCAACAUGGUCUGGCCUGUCACAGCAAUACUUCAGUCCCAGUACCAACUCCUGUCUUGGUCAGUGAGAUAUUGCUGUAGAGACACCAUAGCCAAGACAACAACUAUAAGAGAAGGCAUUUGAGUGGGGCCUUGCUUACACUUUUGAACACUCAGUCCAUGAUCAUGGCAGGGAGCCUGGUGGCAUGCAGCAGUGCUGGAGCAAUAGUUGAGAGCUACAUCCUGAUCACAGGCUGAGAGACCAAGGGUUUGAAACCUCAAAAUGUGGGGUGGUGAACUGUGCACAGACAGCCUGGUCUCCAGUAGAGCACAAGCCUGGAACCCCGGAGACCUGGAUCCGCCAUGCUGGAGCAACAAAGUAGAUAUAUCUAACAAGCUGCGUGUCUAACCUCCCACCAGAAAAUUUCCUUGUGCUCCAGCCACGACCACCAACCCAAGCCGCCUGAGCUAGCCAGAAUCUCUCCUCCCCAAGGUAACCACCCAGAGCUCUCUCCUCCUGCCCUUUUUCCUUCAGCCCCCGGGCCAGAGUCCGCCCGAGGGUACCAAUUCUAUUCUCAGCUCUUCUGCAACCAACAGAGGUAUCUGGGAUGUCCGAGAGCGAGAACUUGUUGUGCCUGGCCUCCGUGCGGCCCAGGGACCCCAGAACUGGCUCUUCCAGGAUGCCCAGUGAUCUGUGAUGCUGAGAGUCGGAGCCCGACUUCGGCAGUUCCACAGGGACCCCAAACUGUGCCCUUUCCUCACAUCCAGAGCGGGAUCCCGCGGCUUCUCAAAGUCCAGUGCCCACCUGGCGGUUCCGUGGGGUCCACUGUGCAGUCAGAUCUCCCACAUCCCAUUCUCGCCCAGCAACCCUAGCUCCGAGCGGACCCCAUUUUUUACUCCACACCCCCCCCCCCCAGUGACACACUUCUCCCCACAAAGACACACCUCCUAAUUCUUUCAAAUGGUGCAACUCCCUGGCCUUCAACUUCGAGAUCCACCUGCCUCCUCCAGCUAAGUGCUGGGAUUCAAGCCAUGUACCACCACUACCUGGCAACUAUUUGUUCUUAAUAAAGGAUAAAUCAUCUUC
rnacentral:lncRNA from 1 species